ensembl:lncRNA
AACAAUGUAGUUUUGUCACAUGUUUUCAGAGUCAAAGAACUGCUGCUUUCCAUGGUAGCUAGGGAAGAAAAGAGAUCAAGAAGAUAUUACUGUUCCAAAACUUACAUCUUUUGGGAAGUGAACAGUGUAUACUGUACAUUGAACUCCUAGGGAAUGGAUAAAAACUGUAUUCAUAAUUGAGAACAGAGAAGGAUGUGGACACUUUAGAAAUACUCCAGAAGGGUAUUAUGGUCUAGACUAGGUUUGAUUGGUUGAUUGUUCUCUGUUACUGGAGCUUGACCCUAAGGGCUAACUGAGCUACCUCCCCAGCUCUUUCUGUUUUCAUUUUUAGAUAGAUAGAGUAAGUUGUCCUGUAAAUUGUCCAGGCCAGUCUUGACCACCCUACGAAGCUUCUGUCUCAGUCUCCCAGGCUUCUGGAAUUACAGGUGUGUGCCACCAUGCCUGAUUUAUACAUUUUAUAGAGGGGAUUACCACUGCUUGUGAGUACGUAAAACCAGAUUCCUAUAAUUGCCAUUGCUUUUAGCUGUUUUAGAAAUGGUUAGCAGUGCAAUUUCUGAUUAUUUUGAUGAUACUAUUUUGAUGGACUCAGACCUUAUUUCUGGCAUGUAGCCCCCAGUCAGUGGCUAGAGUACCUUUACCAUGCAUCACAGAUAGUUGAAUUAGGAUGAGCAAUCCAACUUCUAGGUUAUGUGGAAUGGGUGAAACAUGCAAAAUUCACUAUGUCGGUAGUUAAAAAUCACUAAGAAUUUUUUAAAGUAGCAAUUACUUUUGAAAAUAAACUUUUCUAAGUCAUGGGUAUGCAGGUUUUCAUCCCAUAUGUAAGGUGAAACCUUUCCAUUUUGAAGAUAUAUUUAUAGUCCUAAAUUCACGUAAGCAGAUGGUAACUACUUUCUGCCUUGCCUCAGUAUUUGUAGCAUCAGCAUUAUACGUUAAGGGCACACACCUUUAUGAAUCAUUGCACUCAUGCCAUGGAAGCAAUCAACAAAUGGAGUCAUUAUCUUUCCAGGCUCUUGACCUGGGUGCUGGGAACACAGUAGGUGUAAGACUCAGUCCCUCUUCAGCAUAUAGUUAGCUGGGGAGAAAAGGGAGUACCUUAAGUCCCAUGGGGUAGAUCAGACCUCCGGAGGUCUGAUUGGAAACCUCUGGGAGAACAUUGGUAAGUCGGAUUCCUUUGUAUCUGAUAAAGUCAGUCAUAUACUGUACACCUGUGAAAGUUUACCACUUGAAUGUUGUAAGUUGGGGACUUUAUAGAGAAAUGUCGAAGUCAAAGUAAGAUGUGCCUUACAGAGCACAAUCACUUGUACAAGGAGCAAUCAAAACAUACAGUGAAUGUGCAAAUUGUUAAAGAAUUUAUUGCAGUAAAAGAUGUCGAUUCCUCUCAAAAUAUACCUCCCUGAUUCAGAUACUGUUAAGAAUGAUGAGGUAAGUGCAUUUGAAGUUGGGGGAGGGCAGUAUUGAGGGGAUUAAUGGUUGUGUGUUACUGUGAUUCAUUUUUAAAUGUAAACCUUUUUUAAAAAAUCACUCCUUGUAUGUUAAAAUACUCUCAAGAACUUAAUCUCAGACCAGCUCUGUCUCCUUACAUCUGUUUCCCAUUCUGCCAAAGGGCAGGCACCAGCUAUUUUUAGGAUGCAGAAAGAUACAAAUUGAAAAAUAACAGUGAACAUCUGCCAGACUGGGGGCUCUUGAUUUGCUGAGGUUGUGGUAUUUGUCCAUUCAGUUUUUAACCACUUACCUUGCUGCAAGAGCAGAACAUGUUUCACUAGAAUGUAAUGUAGGGAAUUCUUUUGUUCCCUGCUGUAUCCCAAGUACCUAGAAAAGUUCCUAGCACAUUCUAGAUGUUAAUAAAUGCUUGUUGAAUGAAUGAACCAAUGAUUAUAAGUACCUUUUUUUAAAGUUCAGAAUUUUUGAAAAUAAAGGAUCCAUUGGAAAUAUGACAAAAUGUAUGAAGAAG